GACGAACCGUGCGAACGUUGUUCGGAAUCACUGGGCUUAAAGGGCGCGUAGGCGGGCCGCCAAGUCAGGGGUGAAAGCCUCCAGCUUAACUGGAGAAGUGCCUCUGAUACUGGCGGCCUCGAGGGAGAUAGGGGCGUGCGGAACUUCCGGUGGAGCGGUGAAAUGCGUAGAUAUACGGAAGGAACACCGGUGGCGAAAGCGGCGCGCUGGGACCGGGGAUUGACACUGAGGAGCGAAAGCUAGGGGAGCAAACGGGG
rnacentral:rRNA from 1 species